rnacentral:rRNA from 1 species
UGCAAGUCGAGGGGCAGCAUGGUCUUAGCUUGCUAAGGCCGAUGGCGACCGGCGCACGGGUGAGUAACACGUAUCCAACCUGCCGUCUACUCUUGGACAGCCUUCUGAAAGGAAGAUUAAUACAAGAUGGCAUCAUGAGUCCGCAUGUUCACAUGAUUAAAGGUAUUCCGGUAGACGAUGGGGAUGCGUUCCAUUAGAUAGUAGGCGGGGUAACGGCCCACCUAGUCUUCGAUGGAUAGGGGUUCUGAGAGGAAGGUCCCCCACAUUGGAACUGAGACACGGUCCAAACUCCUACGGGAGGCAGCAGUGAGGAAUAUUGGUCAAUGGGCGAGAGCCUGAACCAGCCAAGUAGCGUGAAGGAUGACUGCCCUAUGGGUUGUAAACUUCUUUUAUAAAGGAAUAAAGUCGGGUAUGCAUACCCGUUUGCAUGUACUUUAUGAAUAAGGAUCGGCUAACUCCGUGCCAGCAGCCGCGGUAAUACGGAGGAUCCGAGCGUUAUCCGGAUUUAUUGGGUUUAAAGGGAGCGUAGAUGGAUGUUUAAGUCAGUUGUGAAAGUUUGCGGCUCAACCGUAAAAUUGCAGUUGAUACUGGAUAUCUUGAGUGCAGUUGAGGCAGGCGGAAUUCGUGGUGUAGCGGUGAAAUGCUUAGAUAUCACGAAGAACUCCGAUUGCGAAGGCAGCCUGCUAAGCUGCAACUGACAUUGAGGCUCGAAAGUGUGGGUAUCAAACAGGAUUAGAUACCCUGGUAGUCCACACGGUAAACGAUGAAUACUCGCUGUUUGCGAUAUACGGCAAGCGGCCAAGCGAAAGCGUUAAGUAUUCCACCUGGGGAGUACGCCGGCAACGGUGAAACUCAAAGGAAUUGACGGGGGCCCGCACAAGCGGAGGAACAUGUGGUUUAAUUCGAUGAUACGCGAGGAACCUUACCCGGGCUUAAAUUGCAGAUGAUUACGGUGAAAGCCGUAAGCCGCAAGGCAUCUGUGAAGUGCUGCAUGGUUGU